rnacentral:rRNA from 1 species
CCUACGGGAGGCAGCAGUGAGGAAUAUUGGGCAAUGGAGGCAACUCUGACCCAGCCAUGCCGCGUGAGUGAAGAAGGUUUUCGGAUUGUAAAGCUCUUUCGGAUGUGACGAUGAUGACGGUAGCAUCUAGAGAAGCCCCGGCUUACUUCUUGCCAGCAGCCGCUGUAAUACGAAGGGGGGCAGCGGUGUUCGGAGUUACUGGGCGUAAAGGGAGUGUAGGCGGUUUAGUAAGAUAGUCGUGAAAUCCCAGAGCUUAACUUUGGAAUUGCCAUUAUAACUAUUAGACUAGAAUUACAGAGAGGAUAGUGGAAUACCUAGUGUAGAGGUGAAAUUCGUAGAUAUUGGGUAGAACACCAGUGGCGAAGGCGACUAUCUGGCUGUACAUUGACGCUGAGGCUCGAAAGCAUGGGGAUCAAACAGGAUUAGAUACCCCGGUAGUC